CUUGGAAACACGCUGGCAAGCAAGAUUAUAAUCAGGAAGUGGAUGCCUCCAUUUUUAAGGCCUGGGCAGUUUUUAAAGGGAAGUUUAAAGAAGGGGACAAAGCUGAACCAGCCACUUGGAAGACGAGGUUACGCUGUGCUUUGAAUAAGAGCCCAGAUUUUGAGGAAGUGACGGACCGGUCCCAACUGGACAUUUCCGAGCCAUACAAAGUUUACCGAAUUGUUCCUGAGGAAGAGCAAAAAUGCAAACUAGGCGUGGCAACUGCUGGCUGCGUGAAUGAAGUUACAGAGAUGGAGUGCGGUCGCUCUGAAAUCGACGAGCUGAUCAAGGAGCCUUCUGUGGACGAUUACAUGGGGAUGAUCAAAAGGAGCCCUUCCCCGCCGGAGGCCUGUCGGAGUCAGCUCCUUCCAGACUGGUGGGCGCAGCAGCCCAGCACAGGUGAGGGUGGGUGGCCCAGAAUUGUCACCAGGCAUGGCCUGAAGGGUUUACGGCAUUCCACCAGCCAGGGAUGGAG
rnacentral:sRNA from 1 species